GCCCGGGUGGUGAAAUUGGUAGACACGCUGUCUUCAGGUGGCAGUGCCUCACGGUGUGCUGGUUCGAGUCCAGUCCCGGGUAC
rnacentral:tRNA from 1 species